AGCCUGCGGUAGGCUGCCGGGCUUCUGUGGGUGGGGGAAGGCUGGACUGAUGCAGCCUGUCAGUGCUUUUGGACUGCUGCUUAGGUGCCCAGUGCCAGUGGCUACCCUGUUGGACAGCGAAGAUAUAGAAUAUUUCCAUCAUUGAAGAACAUUCUGUUGGUCAUUGUUGGACUGGAGAAACUCGAAGGUACUCUGGUUGCUAAUCAUUCUGCACACUAAAGAUGGACAGUCAUUGCUCCUACUCUAAAGGAACUUUGUCUAGUAAAGAGCUCCCGUGCUUCUGCAGGUGGGGAAAGUUGCUUAUUCAAUAGGUGGAGGGUACUUGGAAACUGUCGUGAAGGCGGAGACCCCCGGUGCAGGGUGAGGGUUAUAUAUCAGGUGGUUGGAUCAAGGGUUAGGUGUAUCUAAUGUUAUAACCAGAGCCCUUUUGUCUGCUUCUUAAUCCAGUUUCUUAGGAAAUUAUCACAAAGAAGGGGUUUGAAUGUUUUAAUUUAAAUGUUUUGUGUUCUCUUGACUUCCCUAGUUCCUAUGAAGGGUUCACAUCCUGAGUAGUUACGAACGAAUGACUGGGGUUGAUCUUCAAGCAUUGACCAACUUUUCACCCAUUGCCAGCACAUACACACGACACUCCAAACACACACCUCCUACUUCUGGUAACUUGUUCUCACUACCUCUUAUUGACCCUUCCCUUGUCUUUGUCUCUUAAAAUAUGAUGAUAAGGAAACAGUUGCUUCCAUUUCUUUUGAAUUGAGGGGGCAAAUUGCUGUACAUCUCUUGGAUACAAGAGCCUGAUUGGCGUUCCCCUUACAAGUAUAAUCUUGUGUGGGCUCCUGUGCUGAUAUAUUUAGGAUGAAUAUAUGUGCCUUACAUGAUCUUAUUUGGGAGAGUUUAGAAAUCUUUCAGACAUAAAUAUUUUUGGUUUUUCCCUGUCUUCUGAAGAUUUCCCAUGUUACGGGGCCUAACCUAAUUUAUUUUCCUUUAGAUAAAAAUAUGAUAUACCCUUUCCUCCCUGACCCGUAUCUCUGACAUACCAUUGUCAAUUUCUGUGUAAAAAGAUGCUGUUUCAGAGAAUAGCCACCGUAUGAUUAAGUACACCACACAAGCAUAUCCUGAGAUAUACAAAACAGUGUGUGGCAUUACACUUCCCCUUUUGGAUUCUGGUAACCAAACACUGAAUCCAGGUCAGGAAACAAGUCCAUGGGGCGUGUGUGGGGUGGGGAGAUGGGGGCACUUGGUUUAGCUUGAAGGUUAUUCAAUUUAGGUAAGAUGAUACUGUAUAGGAUACGGGAAUACAUCAGAAAGUAAGGAAGGAUAACAGAUCUAGGAGAAAAGUGCACCGAAGGAUAAGCAAGGAGUAAGAGAUAAAGGAAGAAAAAUAGGAAGGGAAGCUUGCUCUGCCCUUGGUGUUGGCACCUGCAGUGUAUUUCCAGUAAGAAGUCUGCUCUGUGGUCUGAAGAUAAGCGAUGCCUCGGGCAGGGUUAUUUACUCAUACUGAAGAACAAUAGCUCUUUACUGUGCAGGGAUUAUUAAUGAUCAGAGGGAAACAGCUUUAGGAAAAUCCAUUACUGCCACAAAGCGAUAAUUUCGCCAGCAGGCAGCAAAGUUUAGCAGAGAUAAAAGAGGCCUCACUGUUCCUCCUUUAUUUCCUCCUUUUCAGGUAACAUUUGCCUUUGUUAACUUCCAAUGCUAAGUGAUUUACAUGGAUUAUUAUGAACAAUCCUUAAAACAACUCUUUGAAGAAGGUUCUGUUGUUUCCCCAUUUUAAGAAACCGAGGCUCAGGAAGAUUAAUAUCUUGCCUGAUGUGGUGAAGUCAGGAUUCAAACCCAGAUCAUUCCAGAGCCCAUUAGUUCAUUGUUUGUAUUAUAUCUCCUGUCCUUUACAUCUGUGGAAAAAUUUUGAAUGCCUAAAAUCAAGUAGUCAUUCUCUAUUCUGCUAUCUGGGGCAUGAAAAUCUGUUUGCUUUGACAUUAUAAGAAUGCUUCAGUUCCCUGGAGGUUUUCCAAAUGACAAAAGCUUUAAAUUAUAAUUUUUUAGGUUGGUUUUGAACCCUCAUCACUUGGUUGCAAUGGACCUUAUUCCCCCAAAGGAUUGUUUUUAAGAAAAAAAAUAUCAAAAACUCAUUUUUCUAUAUGUUUGAUUCUAAGCUUCCUGGAAAUACAGUAUAUCAUUUCAGUCCUGUGGACAAACCCUAAGUGGCCUUAAGAGAACUUAAGAGCGAGGGUUAUGUAACAGCUGUGUAUACUGCCCUAGAUGGAAGUGAGAAGACUGCCUUGCUAAAUAACACUUAAUCUUCAAUUCUCACCCUGACACCCACAGUACCACUCUUGAAAACAUCAUUGUGAGGGUUAAUUAGUAAUUUUUAAUGCUCUAGGGUCUUCUGUUGCGAAACCUGAUCCAAAUACCACUGCAUAUAUCUCAGGAUGAGAAUGGUAAUUACUGGUGAUUAUUCUGUGUGGGUAAUUUUUUUCUUCUAACAGAUGUAUUUCAAGCUCCAACUCUGGGCCAGGCCUAGGAGUGUAAUGGAUGAGACAGGGUCCCAACCUGCUUCUCUCUCUCCCUCCCAAAACACACACAGUGGAGGAAGAACCAUAAGUCAAACAGAAAAUUACAAUAGAGUAGAAUGAACAUUAUGAUAGGGGUAUACACCAGAGCAGGGACGCUGACCCAGUGUGAAGAAGGCACCCCGUGAAAAGUGAUGAAAGCCAAAGGAUGAGAGUCAGCAGUUAAGCAAAAAAAGAAUAUUGCAGUUGUAUAGGUUGGGGCCUUCCAUUUGGCAAAAAGAAGGAGUCCCAGAUCUAAGAAGAUAGGGCAGCAGGACACGGGAUAGGUCACCACUGGUACAUGGUGAACACAUACGAUAGAUUUCACUGGGUGAGUUUCAUCAUCACCCUCCCCCAAAAUCAUAAAGUAGUUGGGAGAGAAAUUUGACUACAUUAUAUUCAUUGGUUAUGAUUUUAUAAAUUUACACCUAAGGACAGAUCUUGAAAGAAUGGAGUCUCCUUCCACCUGGGGUUUGAAAGUCAGUUAAUUUCCCUUGCCUUUUCUGUCCCUUGUUUGUACUGCAACACUUUUUCUUCAGUAGAAGGCAAAGCCUCAUGGGAGUGCAGCAUUUGGAAUUUUGACAUUCCUGAGACCAGAGUCAUACUUCUAUAAAUUUCAUCUGAGGAAAGGGAAUUUUCAUCUCUGCUUUUAAACUUCUAAGUGUUCAUGCAGUGAUGCUCUUUCCAAAGGUGAAAGAAACUGUUCCAAAGGUGGGGAAAAGGGUGAAGUGGAUAAAGCCCCUAGUCCUGGCAAAUCUUCCUGUAGGUCUCCUGCAAAACUAGAUCUAGACAUGCCAAGUAUAUAGACCCUUUCACUGUAUUUUCAUUCUCCACAGCAAGUGGAAGAGUGAGUGGGUGGUGCGUUUUUUUUUUUUCCCCCUAGGAAAUUGAUCACUGCCUGUUUGGAGUCCCCAUUACUGACUCCAAAAUAAAAACAGGGAAAAGCUUUCAGUCAGGGAAAUAAUCAUUUAGCUUUUUUGGCUCUUAAUCCCAGUUCUCCUGUCAGUUAAGUAGCAUUAGGCAAGACUCUUCACCAUCUGCAAGACUGGUAGAAUCACAAGUAUCUAUGAUACAGUUUGAAAUCCAGCAUGUUUUUAAAAAUGUAAAUCAGACCAUGAUACUCUUACUUGCUUAAAACCUACCGAUGUCUUCCUUUUGCUCUUAGACUACAAAUCAAACUCCUUUCCAAGGCCUACUCUCUCAGCCUGUGCUGGAUCCUGUCCACCUGUGGUCCCACUUCCCCGAUAGGCUCUCAACUGUAUUAACACUGAGGUUGGUUCCCACCUCAUAGCCUUUGUUCCUGCUGUUCUUUCUUCCUGCAUCACCUUCCCCUGAACUCUUCCCAUUAACAGGUUCCUGAACACCAUUCAAGACUCAGCUCAAACGUCACUGACCACCC
rnacentral:lncRNA from 1 species